GAGAAUUUAGUUAAUAUAUAACAUUAGUAUGUCAAUCUAAAAUAAUCUAUAAAGAUAAUUUUCUAUCC
rnacentral:tRNA from 1 species